GCUGCGGGGGCUCCGAGCCUUCCGCUUCUCCGCUGCCGAUGUCGCGUACCUGCGCUCUGUCCUGCCCAGCACCACAGACGACGCCUUCUUCGACUACCUGGCCACCCUGGAUGCCUCCGAGGUGACCGUCACUGCCAUUCCCGAGGGCUCCGUCGUCUUUCCAAGGGUGCCGUUCCUGCARGUGAAGGGGCCGCUCUUGGUGGUGCAGCUGCUGGAGACCACCUUGCUGUGCCUGGUCAACUAUGCCAGCCUGGUGGCCACCAACGCUGCCAGAUUCC
rnacentral:lncRNA from 1 species